rnacentral:rRNA from 1 species
UACAGAGGGUGCAAGCGUUAAUCGGAAUUACUGGGCGUAAAGCGCGCGUAGGUGGUUCGUUAAGUUGGAUGUGAAAUCCCCGGGCUCAACCUGGGACUGCAUUCAAAACUGACGAGCUAGAGUAUGGUAGAGGGUGGUGGAAUUUCCUGUGUAGCGGUGAAAUGCGUAGAUAUAGGAAGGAACACCAGUGGCGAAGGCGGCUCUCUAGUACGGUACUGACGCUGAGACGCGAAAGCGUGGGGAGCGAACAGG